AGCAGCCGCGGUAAUUCCAGCUCCAAUAGCGUAUAUUAAAGUUGUUGCAGUUAGAAAGCUCGUAGUUGAAUUUCGGGAUCAAUAUGUUGGUCGUGCCUCGGUACGUACUAGCAUAUUGGUUUCUCCUUUCUGAAGAACCAUGAUGUCAUUUAUUUGGUGUCGUGGGGAAUCAGGACUGUUACUUUGAAAAAAUUAGAGUGUUUAAAGCAGGCUCACGCUUGAAUACAUUAGCAUGGAAUAAUGAAAUAGGACGUUUGAUUCUAUUUUGUUGGUUUCUAGGAUCGACGUAAUGAUUAAUAGGGAUAGUUGGGGGCAUUAGUAUUCAAUUGUCAGAGGUGAAAUUCUUGGAUUUAUUGAAGACUAACUACUGCGAAAGCAUUUGCCAAGGAUGCUUUCAUUAAUCAAGAACGAAAGUUAGGGGAUCGAAGACGAUCAGAUACCGUCGUAGUCUUAACCAUAAACUAUGCCGACUAGGGAUCGGAUGAUGUUAAUUUUUUGAAUGACUCAUUC
rnacentral:misc_RNA from 1 species